rnacentral:rRNA from 1 species
AGGGAAUAUUGCGCAAUGGAGGGAACUCUGACGCAGCGACGCCGCGUGAGCGAUGAAGGUCUUCGGAUCGUAAAGCUCUGUCCUUGGGGAAGAAGGGAGCCGUAAGGCUUCUUGACGGUACCCAUGGAGGAAGCCCCGGUUAACUACGUGCCAGCAGCCGCGGUAAUACGUAGGGGGCAAGCGUUGUCCGGAAUUAUUGGGCGUAAAGGGUGCGUAGGCGGCCCUUUAAGUCAGAUGUGAAAGCCCACGGCUUAACCGUGGGACUGCAUUUGAAACUGGAGGGCUUGAGUGUCGGAGAGGGCAGUGGAAUUCCCAGUGUAGCGGUGGAAUGCGUAGAUAUUGGGAGGAACACCAGUGGCGAAGGCGACUGCCUGGACGAUAACUGACGCUGAGGCACGAAAGCUAGGGGAGCAAAC